rnacentral:rRNA from 1 species
GACGAACGCUGGCGGCGUGCUUAACACAUGCAAGUCGAACGGAAAGGCCCUGCUUUUGUGGGGUGCUCGAGUGGCGAACGGGUGUGUAACACGUGAGUAACCUGCCCUUGACUUAGGGAUACCUUCAGGAAACUGGGGCUACUACCGGAUAGGAGCUCCAGCUGCAUGGUGGGGGUUGGAAAGUUUCGGCGGUUGGGGAUGGACUCGCGGCUUAUCAGCUUGUUGGUGGGGUAGUGGCUUACCAAGGCUUUGACGGGUAGCCGGCCUGAGAGGGUGACCGGCCACAUUGGGACUGAGAUACGGCCCAGACCCCGACGGGAGGCAGCAGUGGGGAAGAUUGCACAAUGGGCGGAAGCCUGAUGCAGCAACGCCGCGUGCGGGAUGACGGCCUUCGGGUUGUAAACCGCUUUCGCCUGUGACGAAGCGUGAGUGACGGUAAUGGGUAAAGAAGCACCGGCUAACUACGUG